GACAUUUUAAUGUAUGAUUGGCUUGGACCAUUGGAAUGAAGUCAUUUCAUGGUCCCACCACUUGGGAUGGUAUUAGCUGCAAAUAUAGACUUGUACUCAGCACUUAUUCCCUUUUAAGUUGAGAUCCAUUUUGUGCUAACACCUACCGUGACACAGAAUUUUUGGUUUAUGCAGUCUCAUAGGAGUAACCUGUCUAAAGCAUUUAGCAAUGGGAUUGGAACCUGCGACAUGUGACUCAUCUGAAUACUGAAUUUUGAUACCAAGCAUGACCAUGAUUUGCCAGAAGAUCAUCUGUUUGGAUGUGACAUGGAAUAAACAGCAUAGUGAAAAUAAGUCAAGUUUUGGUUUGUGAAGACAAUUUUUAAACACACUGUGUAUCAUUUUUAAAUUUUAAUUUGACAACAUAAAUCCACAAAUAUGAACAUAUCAAUUGCUCUCGUUUUUCAAGUGAAAAAGUUUUUGUAAAGAAAUACAUGUACCAGUAAUUACAUUGGAAUAAAUGUUAUUUUUAAAAAUAAUAAUAUUUUGUUUGUGUAGCAUGUUGACCUCUUUAUUAAGGUCUUCCCUUUCAAAGUU